GACGAACCGUGCGAACGUUGUUCGGAAUCACUGGGCUUAAAGGGCGCGUAGGCGGGCUGUCAAGUCUGGGGUGAAAUCCCGCGGCUCAACCGUGGAACUGCCUCGGAUACUGACUGCCUCGAGGAAGGUAGGGGCAUGCGGAACUGUAGGUGGAGCGGUGAAAUGCGUUGAUAUCUACAGGAACUCCGGUGGCGAAAGCGGCGUGCUGGACCUUUUCUGACGCUGAGGCGCGAAAGCUAGGGGAGCAAACGGG
rnacentral:rRNA from 1 species